rnacentral:lncRNA from 1 species
AACAAACAUUAGAGUUCUGAAAUCUAUAAGGGAAAACAAAACCAUCCCUUAAGCCAACAAAUGUCACCAAGUCCACCCGACACUGUCGAGGAGCAAAGUCCCAAGUGUUAGAUGCUGUGCUCACCCCAGAGACGGAUGGAUCACACCGUUGAAAUUUUCUCCAUGUGUGUGACUCAUUUGUGUGCAUCUAUGUACAGGUAUUCUCCAAUUGCUGCUAACUGGUGCCAUAGAG